rnacentral:rRNA from 1 species
UACGUAGGCAGCAAGCGUUGUUCGGAAUUACUGGGCGUAAAGAGCGCGCAGGCGGUCGUUCAAGUCGCGUGUGAAAGCCCCCGGCUCAACUGGGGAGGGUCACGCGAUACUGAUCGACUCGAAGGCAGGAGAGGGAAGUGGAAUUCCCGGUGUAGUGGUGAAAUGCGUAGAUAUCGGGAGGAACACCAGUGGCGAAGGCGACUUCCUGGCCUGUUCUUGACGCUGAGGCGCGAAAGCUAGGGGAGCAAACGGG